rnacentral:rRNA from 1 species
UACGUAGGGUGCAAGCGUUGUCCGGAAUUAUUGGGCGUAAAGAGCUCGUAGGCGGUUUGUCGCGUCUGCUGUGAAAGACCGGGGCUCAACUCCGGUUCUGCAGUGGGUACGGGCAGACUAGAGUGCAGUAGGGGAGACUGGAAUUCCUGGUGUAGCGGUGAAAUGCGCAGAUAUCAGGAGGAACACCGGUGGCGAAGGCGGGUCUCUGGGCCGUAACUGACGCUGAGGAGCGAAAGCGUGGGGAGCGAACAGG